AAAUAAUGAGAAUUAAAAUCAGUAAACCUAUCACCAUUCACUUCCUUUCUUCUUUCACGCUCAAUCAUCCUUCUCUCUCUCACUUUCGAUCUCUUACCAUCUCGCCACUCUCGAUCGCUCUAUCUCACACCUCUCUCGCUCAUGUCAUCUCUCAAUCUCAACCUUAUUCACAAACUUUCACUCUACAUGCCAAAAAAACAAAAUGCUUUAAAGAGAUUCAAGCAGUAAAACUCACCUUCGGCGGUGGUCCGACGGUAAUGACGAUGCUUGGAUCUUCCUCCCGUCGCCGCUCAACUCUUCUAGCUUUAGGGUUUUCGCUCUCUGAAAACUUUAGGGUUUUUUUUGUGGCUGAUUGAAGUUAGGUUUUUCGUCGCCGCUCCUAAAAAACCCUCCUUUUUUCCUACAGCAUCCGCCUCUUUUUAUACCCAAUCAGUUAGGGUUUUCGAGCUAGCUAUGGAGAUUAAAAAGGGAAACCUCUUGGAAGUGCUUUUAGGUGCUCAGCUUUGCCUGUCUCGCUUGAUACUUAAAUCUGGAAACGUAAAAAUUGGUGAAAAGAAACACUUCGGUUAUUUGCAAAGCUCAACUAUUGCUACUACCAUGAACUUCUAGGUGUGAAGAAGUGCUAGCUAUCAAGGAUGAAAAUCAGUUCCGUUAUAAGCUAAUGUUAAUGUUAGUAGGUGUUGCCGGUUGAAUGUGUUGUUGCUAAUGUGUUUGGUGUUGGCUAUUGUGCCUGAAAUUGGGCUUGAAAUUGUUCAGGUUUUGGAUACUGAUUGGGUAAUAGGAUUGUGUAUAGAUGGAAUUAGAAAUGAUUGUAAUUUUGAACAUAUUUGUUUCAGGAAUGAAUAGGAAGUUUGCAGGUUAUUGGUUAGUUUGGGAAUUUCGGCUUGGAUGCGGUUACGAAGCGCAUUGGAUGGCGGGGCUGUUUUGGAAUUCUGCAAAGCUUCUUCAUGUUCCACGACUUCAAUAGAUGAAUUGAUCGAGCGACAAGCAGCAGCAGCGGAUUUAACUUUUAGCUGACCAAUAUAUGCUUCCGUGUGUAUAAUCUGUCUAUGCAUAUUAUUCAACUCAAACUUGUCAUGAUCAAGAACAUUGUAUCUAUGAAUCAUGUGAGGUUCUAAUCCAUUUGUAGCGUACCGUAAAGUUUUAAAAUGCCGGAGAUUAGCUUUAGUGCCUCAAAUUUGUAGUUUCCGUUUGUUUAUGGUUGUUUGUAAUUAGGUGCCUAGUAUAAUCCUUAAAUUUUUGUAGCUGUAUAGCUUUAUAAUAUGAAGCGUGAUUAUUCUAUUCCA